GAUGAAGAACGCAGCGAAAUGCGAUAAGUAAUGUGAAUUGCAGAAUUCAGUGAAUCAUCGAAUUUUUGAACGCACCUUGCGCCCCUUGGUAUUCCGAGGAGCAUGCCUGUUUGAGUGUCAGUAAAUUCUCAAACCCUUCCAGCUUUUUGUAGUUGGCUCUGGGUCUUGGAUGUGGAGGUGUUGCAGGCCUUUUUGAGGUCAGCUCCCCUGAAAUGCAUUAGCAGAACCGUUUGCAAGCCAUCACAGGUGUGAUAAUUAUCUACGCCAGUGGGUUGCUCUCUGUCACUGUUCAGCUUACAAUUGUCCCAUUCUUGUGGACCAACUAUUGCUGAUUCUUUGACCUCAAAUCAGGUAGGACUACCCGCUGAACUUAAGCAUAUCAAUAAGCGGAGGA
rnacentral:misc_RNA from 1 species